GGACGUGAGUGUGAUCUGGCUGUGGUGCCUGUUAACACACUGAUUGUCAUAGUUGAUUCCACAAUUUGACUGACUACAUAGGUGCACCCCCACCCCCACCCCCAUCCCCCCUCCCAUCCGCCCACCCCUCCACUCCCCCGCCCCAUACCCAACAUCCUAAGUGUGUGUCCUUCAAGAAGUUUCCCGUUGGUUGAAGAGAACAACCCUCCCUGAUAGAGACCCUUCUUUGGUCAAGGGUAUACAAGUAGCCAUACUCCCUUGUAAGAGCCUCCAAACAAGCCCUCAAGGCUUGUCAUUUAUAGGUCAUAGGGAGGUAUGCUUCCAAGACUCCAGACACAGCCAGGUGAGACACUGCAGGCAACACUCUACUGUUCUU
ensembl:misc_RNA 7SK 7SK RNA